AAAAACCCACAGAUGUCACGGCAGCGCAGCGAGGCAGCACCAGCCUCUGCAGCAGGAGGGGCUGGCCGCAUGCUCGUGCCCAUGCCGUUUGUGCUUUAGGGGUUUUCCUUUCUCGUUGAAUAGGUUUAUCACCAGAUCUUCAAUCUAUGGAGCAGAUUCGGCGAAUUAUGAGACCAACUGAUGUACCAGAUCAAGGUCUUCUUUGUGAUCUUUUGUGGUCUGACCCCGAUAAAGAUGUCUUAGGCUGGGGUGAAAAUGACAGAGGAGUGUCCUUCACAUUUGGUGCAGAAGUGGUUGCAAAAUUUCUCCAUAAGCAUGAUUUGGAUCUUAUAUGUAGAGCCCAUCAGGUAUUGAUUUUGAAUUUUACAUGUACACUUAGAGCAUGUGUGUGAGCAGAUUCUCCUUGUUGAUUUUGGUGGGUAGGUAUGGCUUGCCACACAGUGUGCCUCUGGGGAGAGCCGCAGGAGGCCAAGCUCAGUGGGGAAGGAGAAUGGAGCGGCUCAGGCUUCCAGCUGCUCACACUGACGCUGUCUCUCCACAGGUGGUUGAAGAUGGAUAUGAGUUUUUUGCAAAGAGGCAGUUAGUCACUCUGUUUUCUGCACCCAACUACUGUGGCGAGUUUGACAAUGCGGGCGCCAUGAUGAGUGUGGAUGAGACCCUCAUGUGCUCCUUCCAGAUUUUAAAGCCUGCAGAGAAAAAGAAGCCCAAUGCCACGAGACCUGUCACACCGCCACGGG
rnacentral:lncRNA from 1 species